CGUAGGUGGCAAGCGUUGUCCGGAUUUAUUGGGUUUAAAGGGUGCGUAGGCGGUCUUGUAAGUCAGUGGUGAAAUACGGCAGCUUAACUGUCGAGGUGCCAUUGAUACUGCAGGACUUGAGUACAGACGAGGUAGGCGGAAUUGACGGUGUAGCGGUGAAAUGCUUAGAUAUCGUCAAGAACACCGAUAGCGAAGGCAGCUUACUAGACCGUAACUGACGCUGAUGCACGAAAGUGUGGGGAUCAAACAGGAUUAGAUACCCUGGUAGUCCACACUGUAAACGAUGAUUACUCGAUGUUGGCGAUACACAGCCAGCGUCUUAGCGAAAGCGAUAAGUAAUCCACCUGGGGAGUACGCCGGCAACGGUG
rnacentral:rRNA from 1 species